rnacentral:tRNA from 1 species
GCUGGUGCAGCUCGAUUGGAAGAGUAGUUGAUUCGUUAUCAGCUUGAGGGUUCGAUUCCCAUCACCAGCUCCA